GACGAACCGUGCGAACGUUGUUCGGAAUCACUGGGCUUAAAGGGCGCGUAGGCGGGCGGCCAAGUUCGGGGUGAAAUCCUCCAGCUCAACUGGAGAACGGCCUCGAAUACUGGACGUCUCGAGGGAGGUAGGGGCGUGCGGAACUAUGGGUGGAGCGGUGAAACGCGUUGAUAUCCAUAGGAACUCCGGUGGCGAAGGCGGCACGCUGGACCUUUUCUGACGCUGAGGCGCGAAAGCCAGGGGAGCGAACGGG
rnacentral:rRNA from 1 species